rnacentral:rRNA from 1 species
AUGGCUUCUCUGUCGAUGAGUGCGGGGUGGACGCCGAAGCAGAACAAGCUGUUCGAGCAGGCGUUGGCGGUGCACGACAGGGACACACCCGACCGCUGGCACAACAUCGCCCGUGCUGUCGGGGGCGGCAAGUCGGCGGACGAUGUCAGGCGCUACUACGAGCUGCUCGUCCACGACAUCGCCCGGAUCGAGGCCGGCAAGGUGUCUUUCCCCGCCUACCGUCCACCAUGCCCCGGCCCCGGCCACAACGCCAGCUACGAGGCCGACAGGUUGAAGCACUUGAAGAUCUAG